GAUGAACGCUGGCGGCGUGCCUAAUACAUGCAAGUCGAGCGAACGGACGAGAAGCUUGCUUUUCUGAUGUUAGCGGCGGACGGGUGAGUAACACGUGGAUAACCUACCUAUAAGACUGGGAUAACUUCGGGAAACCGGAGCUAAUACCGGAUAAUAUUUUGAACCGCAUGGUUCAAAAGUGAAAGACGGUCUUGCUGUCACUUAUAGAUGGAUCCGCGCUGCAUUAGCUAGUUGGUAAGGUAACGGCUUACCAAGGCAACGAUGCAUAGCUGACCUGAGAGGGUGAUCGGCCACACUGGAACUGAGACACGGUCCAGACUCCUACGGGAGGCAGCAGUAGGGAAUCUUCCGCAAUGGGCGAAAGCCUGACGGAGCAACGUCGCGUGAGUGAUGAAGGUCUUCGGAUCGUAAAACUCUGUUAUUAGGGAAGAACAUAUGUGUAAGUAACUGUGCACAUCUUGACGGUACCUAAUCAGAAAGCCACGGCUAACUACGUG
rnacentral:rRNA from 1 species